rnacentral:rRNA from 1 species
GACGAACGCUGGCGGCGUGCUUAACACAUGCAAGUCGAACGGAAAGGCCCUGCUUUUGUGGGGUGCUCGAGUGGCGAACGGGUGAGUAACACGUGAGUAACCUGCCCUUGACUUUGGGAUAACUUCAGGAAACUGGGGCUAAUACCGGAUAGGAGCUCCUGCUGCAUGGUGGGGGUUGGAAAGUUUCGGCGGUUGGGGAUGGACUCGCGGCUUAUCGACUUGUUGGUGGGGUAGUGGCUUACCAAGGCUUUGACGGGUAGCCGGCCUGAGAGGGUGACCGGCCACAUUGGGACUGAGAUACGGCCCAGACGCCUACGGGAGGCAGCAGUGGGGAAUAUUGCACAAUGGGCGGAAGCCUGAUGCAGCAACGCCGCGUGCGGGAUGACGGCCUUCGGGUCGUAAACCGCUUUCGCCUGUGACGAAGCGUGAGUGACGGUAAUGGGUAAAGAAGCACCGGCUAACUACGUG